rnacentral:lncRNA from 1 species
CGGCCGGGUCCGCUCGGGAAUCCGGACCCCGGCUCUCUGCCUCCUGUUACCGUGGCAACAGGGCAAGCGCUCAGCCGCGCGCCAGCGCCGCCAACCGCCGGCCCCCGCCGCUUCCCCCCGCCCCGCCCCCCUCCCGGCGCAGACGCGGCGCCGAUCCGGCCUCCGGUCCCCAAGCCAGCGCCGGAGGGAAGCGCUUCCGCCGCGCCCGGGAUCCGGGGGCCGCCGCGCCCCCAUCGACCGACUCGGGAUGGACCGGGAGAGGGAGACGGCGCGCGCGAAGAGAGUGAGAGACUGUAUUGAUGCCUACUUGUUUUGUUGUCCGUCUCCCCCUUUUAGACUGCGAGCCCGUUGUUGGGCGGGGGUUGUCUAUCUCUUGCCCAACUGUCCAUUCCUCCGCACACGGUAAGCGCUCAAUAAAUGCGACCGAAUGAAUGGCUACAUGAGAGAGCGCGCGUGCGCGUAUCUCCGUCCGUGGGUCCCCGCGCCUCCUCAUCUUGCUCUCUUGCCGGUCCGGGCCCGUGCGUGGGGCUGCCCCGCCACCUGGCUCCGGGGUCACACCUUGUCCUCUCGGCUCUGUCCCCCGGUGCCGCUGGGCGAAGUCUGGGGCUGCAGAGAGAGCAGGGUCUCGAAGAGGGUCCGGGCCUCGGUGAUCUGGGAGGCCACGUCGGCGUUGGGGUGCUGCCCGAAGGCCUCGGGCGGGUCCAUGCUGGGCAGCAGGCCGAUGUACUCCUUGUAGGACGCCAGGUUCCCAUCCUUGGGGAUGUAGUACGUGUCCAGGACCGACAGCCUGGGGAGGAGUGCCAAGCGCUUAGUCCGGGGCUCCGCACGCAGUAAGCGCUCAGUGAACACAAUUGAACGAAUGGGGGUUCGGGGCAGCGGGGACUCAGGGGACCCGGCCUCCGCCCCCCCGGAGCUCAACCGAGGCCUCUGGAGCUCGGGGUCCCACCUCCGCACCCCGUCUCUGGCCUGGGACGGUCCGGCUGCCGGGCCCCGGCUCCGCUGGACCGAAAGCCCUUCGGGGCGGGGAUCGCGUCUACCUAGCCCAUUGCGCCGGGCACACCUAACCGCUUAGAACAGCGCUCUGUCCCCAGUAGGCUGUGAGCCCCUGGAGGGCAGGAAUCGUGUCUGCUGACUCGAUCGUGGUCUCCCGAACGCCUAGCGCGGUGCUCUGCACGUAGUAGACUGUGAACUCCUCGAGGGGAGGGAUGGUAUCUACUAGAGCUAUUGCGCUCUCCCGAGCGCGUGCUACGGUAAUAAUAAUAACUGUGGUGUCUGUCAAGCGUCUGCUAGGCGCCAGGCACUGUACCAAGCAAAUCGGGUUGGACACGGUCCCCGUCCGACACGGGGCUCCCCGUCGUCAUCCCCAUUUGGCAGAUGAGGGGGACCGAGGCCCGGAGAAGUGAAGCGACUUGCCCAGGGUCACCCGGCGGACCAGGGACGAGAACCCUGAUCCUCUGACUCCCAGGCCCGGGCUCUUUCCGCUAGGCCUCGCCGCCGGUCCGGGGCUCCGCACCCAGAAGGCGCUCAACGGAGCCCAUCGCUGGGCGGACGGCCAGCCGGCUCCCCGGGGUCCCUGGGCCUCGGGCUGGCCGGCGGAAGGGGGUGGAGGCGCCCGCCCCCCGGGCCCAGGCCCCAGGCUGACCGGUGGAAGGGGUCGGUGAUGCUGGCCUCGCAGAAGUAGUCGUUGAUAUAGGUGCUGAGCAGGCGCCGGUCCCAGUCGUCGGUCACGUGGCCCCCGUAGUUCACCCCGGCGAUGAGGUAUUUGAGGGCAUCCCACGGCGUCUCCUCGUACUCAUCCAGGUAGAGGCUCAGCAGGUUCUCCGACACCUGCGCGCGCCGGGAUGCUUCGCUUUAGGGGAGGGGGCCGGGCGGCCUGGGGUCUUUCCACUGGGCCACACUGCUUCUCCCCACGCCGGGACGGUUUGGCUUCGGGGAGGAGGUUGGGCGACCCGGCCUCUUUCCGCUAGUUCACACUGCUUCUCCCCGGUCAGGGAGGGCGUCAGGGGCGGUGGGAGAUCCGUGGCCCUUUUAACCAACGCCGCCAGCGUCUGCUGUGCCUUUUUCAUUCUCUUUAACGGCACCUGUGAAGCGCUUACUGGGUGCCAGACACCUCGCCGAGUGCUGGGGCCGAUCCAGGAUCAUCAGCUGGGACGGAGUCCCUCUCCCCCACGGGACUUGCGGUUGAGAUCGGAGGAGGAGGGGGAUCCCAUCCCCAUUCUACAGGAGGGGAAACCGAGGCCCAGAACAGUGUGGGCAGGGAACGCCCCCGAUUACCGUUGCAUCGUCCUCUCCCAAGCGCUCAGUACAGUGCUCCGCGCACAGGGAAUGCUCGAUGAAUACGAUUGACUGACUGACUGAAUGAACGAAUGAAGUGACUCGCUCAAGGUCAACAAGCAGAAGGGUGGCCAAACUGGGAUGAGGACCCAGGGCCCCCGACUCUCGGCCCCGGGCUCUCGAAGCGGCGUGGCUUUGUGGGAAGAGCCCGGGCUUGGGAGUCAGAGGGUCGUGGGUUCUAAUCCCGGCUCUGCCAAAUGGCUGCUGCGUGACCUCGGGCGAGUCACUUGACUUCUCUGGGCCUCAGUUCCCUCAUCUGUAAAAUGGGGACGAAGACUGUGAGCCCUACGUGGGACAAUCUGAUUACCUUGUAUCUACCCUAGCGCUUACAGCAGUGCUUGGCACAUAGUAAGCGCUUAAGGAAUACCAACAGUAUCAUCUCCAGGGGGCCGUACUGCUUCCGGGGGGGGGGUCCGGGUUGUAUUUCGGGGGGCGGCGGGGAGGGGUCCUCCAGCACCUCAAAGUCGGAGUCGUUGAAGCCGUAGACGAUGUUCCAUCCCAGCUGCAGGAACUUUUUCCUCUCGAGCAGCACCGAGUGGAAGAAGCAGAGGGCGAAGAGCAGCUUCUUGUACUUGGCCGGCUUGGCGCAGCGGGUGAACUGGCUCUCGGUCACCAGCUGGUACAGGCGCUUCAUGUUGGCCUUGAGGCCCUGCGGGCGAAUGGGGUGGGCUCCAAGGGGACUCUCUGCCACCCUCCCCCCCCCGCACAGCCGACCCGACCCCAUCACCUCGUCUCUACCCCAGUGCUUAGAGCAGCGCCUGGCGCAGAGUAAGCGCUGAACAAACGCCACGGUUAUCGCUAUCAAGCGGCGGAAUGUCCUGCGCGCUUACCGUGGGCACAGCACUGGACUAAGCGCUUGGGAGAGGGUGAUAGGACAGGCCCAUCUCCUCCAAGAGGCCUUCCCGGACUAAGCCCUCCUCUCCUCUUCUCCCACUCCCUUCCGCGUCGCCCGGACUCGCUCCCUUUAUUCGUCCCCCCGGCCCGGCCCCACGGCGCUCAUGUCCGUAUCCGUCACCGAUCUAUUUAUACUCAUGUCUGUCUCCCCCCGCCCAAGGCUGGCAGCUCGUCGUGGGCAGGGAAUGUGUCUUUUUAUUGUUGUAUUGUCGUCUCCCCAGCGCUCGGUACAGUGCUCUGCACACAGUAGGCGCUCAAGUACGACAGAAGGAACGAACGAAGAGUUAGCGGUCGCGUUCCCGGCCCGUAACGGGCUCGCAGUCUAGAGGGGGGAGGAGGACGUUAAUCGGGGGUCUGUACUGAGCGCUUUCUGUGAGCGGAGUACUGUACUAAACGCUUGGGAGAGGAUGAUGCGACGGAGUCGGUGGACACGUUCCCAGCCCGUAGAACGGUGCCUGGCACAGAGUGAGGGCUGAGCCGAUUCCACAGUUAUAAUCAUUAUCAGAGGUGUGUCCCGAGCGCUUACUCCGUGCAGAGCACUGGAGCGAGCGCUCGGGAGAGGACAAUAGGACGGAAUUAACAGAUGCGUUCCCGGCCCCUAACGAGC